rnacentral:rRNA from 1 species
UACGUAGGGACCGAGCGUUGUCCGGAAUCAUUGGGCGUAAAGAGCGUGUAGGCGGCCCAUUAAGUCCUGCGUGAAAUCUCGGGGCUCAACCCCGAGCGGUCGUGGGAAACUGGUUGGCUAGAGUGCGGGAGAGGAGAGUGGAAUUCCUGGUGUAGCGGUGAAAUGCGCAGAUAUCAGGAAGAACACCCGUGGCGAAGGCGGCUCUCUGGAACGCAACUGACGCUGAGACGCGAAAGCGUGGGGAGCAAACAGG